AAAAAGAAAAAAAAGAAAAAAAAGAAAAAGAGGAUUCAAUUCUUGAUUAGAUUUCUUUAUUUCUCAGGUUCAGGUUCAAAGGGCAGAGAAACACAGAGAGAGAAAGAGUGGGUGCUACUGUAUUUAUCUUGUUUCAUUAGGUUGAGGAAGCCCACCUUGGAGAGAAAAAUGUAUGAAUGUAUAUAUUGGGAGCAAAAGCAAACAAGUUGCCAGGAAGAAACUAUUUCUAUUUAUACCAUUUACUCUAAUGAAAAUUCAAGGAUAAAAUAAAGAAGCUCCAAGCAGAAGCAGGGUUUAGAAGCUGGAAUUUAAUUCAGGUAAAAGUUUAUGAAGUGAAGGGAGAGGACAAAGAGAGGGAAGGGAGAAAGGAGGAGGUGAGGGGGCUCGGGGGAGUUGGUGACCCUAAAAAUGGAAGGUGUGGGGCAUUGACCUGCACGUAUGAGGCGCAAGAUAGGGACCAUACGGAAAUGAAGAAAGGGGUGGAGGGUAUUUGGGUAAAUUGUGGGUGAAAAUCCAGGGAAGCAGCACGGAGGAAGUGGAGUUGAGUUGAGUUGAGUUUGAGG
rnacentral:misc_RNA from 1 species